CCGAUUCAUCAGCCUAACACGUGGCACGUGGCAGGUUCUCUGAGGUGGGGGAGGCUGGGAUAGGAAGGGUCAGGCCCGCAGGCCCCUCCCUGGGCUCAGGGACACCCGCUUGCCUUCUAGGCAGAGCCUCCUGGAGACCAGAGCCCCAUGGGAUACAGCCUCGAGUCUCUCAGACUUUCAGGGAAGCCUGGAAGGUGGUGGUUUCUGGGACAGGAGUCCUUCCUUGGGAGGAGUGCUGGCCUGGCCUCUGAUCCCCAGGAACCCGGUCUGGGCCACAGGAACCCAGAGUGUGCGGCUCCGGCCAGUCCCGCCCCCACAACGCGGGAGCUUCAGUCUUCCUGUCCCCACAGGGAACCAGGUGGACACUUCCGAGCACCUUCGCGCAGGCUCUGUGGCCCCCUCGCCUCCCCGACAACCUCACCUCUGUUCGCUGAUAUGGCCAGCAGGCCCCACCUACCCAGCCACCUUCAUUUGCUCGAGCUGGCGGCCGGGCGGGGCUAGGGUCUAUCUGGCCGUCGGAUUAAUACCCAGAUAUUAAGUAAACAAUAAAUUAGCAAAACUACAAGAAAAUUUUACAGCCCUUUGCAUUUGGCAAUCAUUGAGUGUUAAUUAGAAAUUCAUUACAAUUAAAACCCUGCCUAAACAGGGCCUGCGCGCCUUAAUUACAUCUGAUUUUUAAUUCAGAAUACGUGUUUACACAGUAAGCGCUACGUACCCCAUGAUUAUCCCCAAUCCUCUUUAUACUGUACUAAUUAUGUAAAUUAAACCUAAUUAACUGACGAAAACUGCCGUUAAUUCAACUGGUAAAAGAUAUGUGCUUGCGGAGGAGGCGCGGCCGCAGCCCAAGACAGAGCUGGAAUGGGCAAGGGACGCCCGGCUGCGUGGACUCGACGCCAGGGACUCAGAGGCAGCAUGGACACGGCGGGGGCUGGUGGGGUGCAAGCCAGGCGUGUCCCUGAUCCUGGCCCUCCGACCCUGGUGCACCCAGCAGUGGGUAAAAUAGAAUCCGCGCCAGAGGGGGUCAGAAAGACCAAGGGCACUGACUCCAGCGCAUUCCCCAGGCGCUGGACUGAGCUGCAGGACUCAGAGGCCCCUCUGAGCAAGAGGGAUGCCGCCCUCCCCCGUCUGAGCCUGAGUUCAAGUCCCAGCGCUGCCCCACACUGGCUGCCUGCAUCUGAGCAAGUCACCUGGCUUUGCUAGGCCUGUUAUCCUCCUCGCGGAGUGUUUCGAGGGCGACCCUAAAAGCUCGUGAGCUGCGCAGUGCUUGUCUUUCGUUCAUUAAACGACGCCCUCCAGGCAGCGUGCAAGACACGAUAUUUGGGGUCUGGGAGAUCAGCCUGCAUCCCUUAUUGACUGAGGAGCCUGGGUGAGUUGGCUUCCACUGCCUGACCCUCGAUUUCCUACCUGUAAAAUGGGAAUAAAUGAUCUUUACCUAUUUCCAGGGUCGUUGUGAGAAAGGGCUCUGCCAACUGAGAUGCUCUUUGCGGUGAUACUAACCAACUGGACUCUGGCUCAGCGCAGAGUCCAGGCCCGACCCCAAGACCCCUCCUUGGAGAUUACCAUCUCUCAAGCGAGCGGCGCCCCUUCCCCAGCCUCUGCCCAUAAGCGUUUAAGUCUUUCUCUGCUUCAGACCCGGUGGAAGAGCAGGGUAGGUCUUCGAAGUCAGAGAGGGCGCAGGGAGCUGUCCACGGAUUGGUGCUGAACGGAGACGCAGGGGUCAACCUGCAUCCCCUUCCCCGCACCCCACGGCGCUGCAUCCGCAAAGGGAACUUUUGUCUAAGAAGUCCCCCGAGACCGCGCGGCCCGGCUGCCAGGAGUGCCCUGGAGGCCGUCCCCAGAGGCACUGCUGGCCAUCGCAGUACAAUAGAGGUAGGAGAGACAGGCCCAGCUCAAGGGGAUCCUCCCCAUCGUCUUUCCACUCCAACCCCCACCACCCUGAGGGCGUCCGGGCUCCAGGAUCGUUGUCACCAUCACACCGAAUUCUGAGAUGUCUUUUAAAAAAUCAUUAGGAGGCUAAGAAUAAUUACCGAACGGGAUUGUAAUUAUGGGGUGAGGAGGCCGGCCAAGGGAGGGGGAUGAGGGGUGGAGUCUGGGGGACGGCUCUUGGACUGGGACAGAAAAUAGGUUCCUGUUUUCCUUGGAGGGAAGUGGGAUGGGGGAUGCAGGGGUGGAGAUCCGCUGAGUUAGAGCGGGACAGAGGUAGAAACUGGGAAAGACGCGCCAGUGGAGGGACAAGAUUCGGAGAGAGAAAGGGGGCUGAGCAGGCUCCAGGGAAAAAGAGAGAAAGGCAAGGAAAUACCAGAGAGAGAGAAAGGCGGGAGCUGAUAAAGGUGAAAGAGCAAGAACCCCUCUAGAAGAGACCCCGCAGCAGAGACUAAGCCCUCAAACUUGGGGUCGGGUUGUUUCGUAGCCCCGGAAAACACGCGAGGAGCAGGUGGCAAGCCAGUUACAGGGCCUGGCCGCCCCCUCUCUCCGAGGGUAGCCCUGGGCAAUCUGUUCCCACCCCCCAGAGGCAUUUCCCAAGACCCCUGCGAGCCCGCGGAGAAGAGAAAAGCACAGGGGAAUGCAGGAGAAGGGGAGAUGAACCCUAGAGGAGCCGGAGUGUAGGAGGGGAGAGGGCCUGAAACCCAGAGCGAGAGGGAAGACGAGAGGGCGGGGGCGAGGGCGACCCGGCGCCGCUGGCCGCGGAAGAUUUAUUGCACCGCCCGGGUUCCAAGGACUGGCUGCGAUCGCCGCUGCUGCCCGUGUCAGGAGCUGCCGCGGCCGCUGCGCCCCCUGCACGGGCAGCCCGCCGCGCCCCGGGCCAUGCCUGCCAUUAUUAACUUCUGUUUGAUUAGGGUAAUUGUUCAAACUUGGACUGGACAGUAUGAUUAAUUACAGUUUAAUUAACGUGUCCAUUANNNNNNNNNNNNNNNNNNNNNNNNNNNNNNNNNNNNNNNNNNNNNNNNNNNNNNNNNNNNNNNNNNNNNNNNNNNNNNNNNNNNNNNNNNNNNNNNNNNCUGGACAGUAUGAUUAAUUACAGUUUAAUUAACGUGUCCAUUAAGGACACUUAAUGCCACAGAGGGGUGGGUGGGGUAAGGGGGUGUCCGGGUGCGGGCUAAAAGGGAGGGAGUACGACUAAGUAACUCAAAUAAGGAAAGACGGAGAAUGAGAGAGAGGGAGAAAACCGGACCUACUGAGUCAGUGGGGGGAAAGAACGGUGAAGACAGAAAUCGACAGAAAAGUGAAGAGGUGGAAAGAAAUGGAGCUCUUCGAAGAGAGAAGAUGCCAGGGAGGGUCUCCAGCAUCAGGGGCUAGACCCCCACCACCAGGAAACUAAGUUAACAGGAGACCCAGGGAGGGGUCUAGCUUUCAACUAGUAGUUGACCCCAGAUAUCACCCAGAGAUGACUCGGCUCCUGGCCUGGGCUGGUUGGUGUUAAUGGAGGGGGGUGGUUAAAGGCCCGGGACCCCCCUAAACCCAGUUCCCGAGCCCACAGCUCAGUGAAGGAGAAAGGAGGCUGUCGUGACACCAGUGCGUCCUAGUCAGAAGCGUGGGCGAGUUGGUUCUGCCCCUUCCCGGCUACUAUCCCCUGGCACCUCACACCCUGAUCUCUGCUCCGACUUCCCAGGGUCAUCUCCCUGGCCCGAGAGUGCGGUAUGCAUUCUCAAGCCCUUUCCUUCUGAGUCUUCCUUAGCCAUUGGUCUAGCUCCUUGCCACUUAGCCUGGAGAGCUGAGCCCUCCCCCACUUUGCUCUUGGGGGCAAACUUUGUGGCCCCGGGCUCCUCCUUCCUCCCGGUCCCCUUAGCGAGCUUGGGCUGCUGGUGCGGGGCUCAGGGAACAGGUGUGUGGCCGCUUACCUGGGGCGCCCAGAGCCGGGAGCUGCGGGAAGGCGGCGGGGCCAGGCGCGUGGCCCGAGGGCUAGCUAUCGGACCCUGGGAGGGCGCGAGUGACUGCACGGGCGGUGGGUGUGGCGCCCCGGCUCGCAGAUGUCAGGCGCGCCCGCCCCGCGCUGGGCUCGCCACUCGGGCUGUCCCCGCGCCUUGCCAGUCGCCGCGCUAUGCUCUCCAGGCUUCGGCCUCCGCGCCGGGCCCGUCCAGGGCCUCAGGGGCAACCGCACAGGGGACCCAUCUUUCUGCCCGGGACCCUGGAGCCGUGCGCCUGCUGAGAGCCUGCGCCG
rnacentral:lncRNA from 1 species